GUGUUUGUGAGCCGUCACGCCAUCUUCUUGGAAAAACCAGUUUAUCCUUGAUAGAGGCAGUGGGAGGAAAAUUGAGCUUGAAGAGAAAGUCUCUGAAAAGCAACGAGUCAUGGAUCCUAUCGAACCCAUUAAUACAGAGCCAGUACACGAUGUCCCUCAACCACCUCGCAGAUCAAGUAGGGUCUUCCAUCCUCCCGAUAGAUACUUAGGUAUACUAGAAGAGGAUACCGAGGAAAUG
rnacentral:lncRNA from 1 species